CUCACAGACCUGACUACAUAGCACUAUCUUCAGUUAUUUGUCAAACACAAUAUAUUUAUCAUGCUAUGUUGCAUUCAGAAAGUAUAAACUACUACAGUAGUACAGUCUGGACCGCACGUGGAUCCACACAUACAUAGAAAAAUUGCAUCUUAACAAUUCACACACAAUCUUUAAUAAUUCAGUACACCAUAAGAGAAAAUGCUCUAAUCAUACAUCAGACAUCAGAACCAUGAAACUACUUAUUCAAUCACACCACUAAUUUUCCCAUUAACUGUCUUUCAGUCUUCCUACUAAUGCCGAAUCGCUUAUCCCAAAAGCACAGGUUGUAAAAGUCAUAGGCUUCUCCCGAAGUAUCAAAACUCGUCCCCAAUGUCAGUACUAUGACAUUGUCCCCUGGAUUUUCCGAGAAACCUCGAAUUAUCUUCGGCAGCACCUGUCCUCACCCUGCAGUCAAUGUCACACGUGUAAAUAAUUGUAGUUCUCCAAAAAUAUUUAAAACUGUUACACACUAUGACAUUGUCCCCUGGAUUUUCCGAGAAACCUCGAAUUAUCUUCGGCGGCACCUGUCCUCACCCUGCAGUCAAUGUCACACGUGUAAAUAAUUGUAGUUCUCCAAAAUAUUUAAAACUGCUACACUCAAGUAGCACAUAAUGCGCCUAUUCGAGCAUGAUCAAGCUGUGUUGUUCGAUUCUAACAUCGGAACUGGCCGCCUUAUGGCAGCAUUGCACCAAACUUGUUUUCCCUCUGAGCUAUGUCUCUGUUUUGCUUCCUGUUCUAGCAUUUUUCACCUUUCCAAUCCUAAUGUGCCUAUUCGAGCAUGAUCAAGCUGUGCUGUUAGAUUCUAAUGUUUACUUAUGCUCCAGGGGUGUAUCCUCAUUUUUAUGAAUCUAGCAAUCAAAUUAAAAUCACACCCCGUUAAAACAAUCAUGGUUCAAUCCUAACACAGAACAGAGGACUGAAUAUACUUGAGCUGCAGCAUUCAGGAAUGCAUAGACUCUGAAUCUAUACUACAUGCGCUGACCAUUUAUUCAGCAGAUCACAUAUUCACAUACAUUACCAAAACCUAGCAGCCGUCCAUAGUCUUACUGCAAAGCCGUCAGUUCUGCAAAUUUCACACCCUCAAGACGUUUUCUACAUGUACAUCUGAAUCUCUUGGUCAUGUGUGCCAUCCGCCGCAACGCUAUAUUGCUAGUGUCACCAUAC
rnacentral:lncRNA from 1 species